GGCGGUUUGUCGCGUCUGCUGUGAAAACCCGAGGCUCAACCUCGGGCCUGCAGUGGGUACGGGCAGACUAGAGUGCGGUAGGGGAGAUUGGAAUUCCUGGUGUAGCGGUGGAAUGCGCAGAUAUCAGGAGGAACACCGAUGGCGAAGGCAGAUCUCUGGGCCGUAACUGACGCUGAGGAGCGAAAGGGUGGGGAGCAAACAGGCUUAGAUACCCUGGUAGUCCACCCCGUAAACGUUGGGAACUAGUUGUGGGGUCCAUUCCACGGAUUCCGUGACGCAGCUAACGCAUUAAGUUCCCCGCCUGGGGAGUACGGCCGCAAGGCUAAAACUCAAAGGAAUUGACGGGGACCCGCACAAGCGGCGGAGCAUGCGGAUUAAUUCGAUGCAACGCGAAGAACCUUACCAAGGCUUGACAUAUACGAGAACGCUGCAGAAAUGUGGAACUCUUUGGACACUCGUAAACAGGUGGUGCAUGGUUGUCGUCAGCUCGUGUCGUGAGAUGUUGGGUUAAGUCCCGC
rnacentral:rRNA from 1 species